UUUUACAGUGCCUUCAUUAGGGAGACAAAUAAACCCUGAAAUGAGAACUGGAAGCCUUUGCCUCUCCUUUUGAAGAACUGUUUAUCUAUCUGCCAAACUGGGCAUCAACGUACAGGGAGGGCAGAAUAGUAAAAAAGCAUCAUUCUCAUCAGCCAGAUAGUUCUCUAAAAGCAAGGAUGGAUGAGACGCUGGAAACAAGGUCAAAAGUGUCCAGUUCUUUACGUUCCAGCCAGCUUACAUCGUCAUCUACUGCUGCCGCCAGAGCACGAGCAAAAGCAGAAGCUGCCCGUGCUCAGCUCUCCUUUGCCAAGCAGGAAGCCAGCAUCCUAAAACAACAGGCCGAGCAGCUUAAAAAGAAAGCAGAUCUGGAUGCAGAGCUACACAUACUCAAAUCACAGAAAGCAGCUGCAGCAGCACUAGCUGAGGCUCAAGCUUGGGAAGCGUCUGCGCAAGAGAGUGAGCAUCCACAACAGCCCCAGCUGGAUGACAUGCAGCAAUUCAGCCCAAUAGAACGAGUCCAAGAGUAUGUGCAGCAACAAUCAGAACUCGGCAACGAUCUGCAGACUCCACAAGUUAAUCAUCCAGAACUCCUAUCUUCUCUGGUGCAACAGCCAGCCACGGCCAUCGAUGCAACACCAAAGGCUCACAAAGAACCAAGUAUCCAUCAGCCCAGUAGGAGCAAAAACCGAGAAUUCACACCUUUGCCAGUCUUCCAUGCUUUGAGCCCAAAGAGAGAAUCUUGCAACUGGAGCUAUGGAGGCGAGCCAACAAACAAUGAUCGAUUUCACCAUCCUCAGUCUAAGCAGAGUUCAAUAGCAAGCUGCAUUCCUCCUCCCCACAUCUCAGCCUGUGUGCACAGAAAAGCCUUUCAUACCCUGUCACAUCACUCUGACAACAGUAUAAAAUGCAUGGAACAUCUAAGUACAGCCCAGCAGUCCUACACAGUGUUGGUUCAGCCCCAACAAUAAUCCACCUCAGAUCCUCCUAAUUCUGUUAAAACAACAGAUCAGGGCAGCCACGUCUGACGGGAAGAUUUCAGAAGCUUAUCUUCCACCUUUCCAGCAAUAGAAAAAAUAUAUUCUUCUCUAUACGGGAUUGUUUGAUUAUGUAUGUCUGUUUGUGAACACUUGUGUAUGGUGUCUGAAAGUACUGCAUACAUUCUGUUCAGUUUACAUGCUUUUCUGUGGGAGUUUCUUUAAGGAAUACUCUGUUUAGUCAGUACUCAGCUGCAGCUGACUCAUACAUAUCUUUUGUUUUCUUUGUCAGGCAAAUAAUGUGACUGUGACAUCAGACUUAGAUACUGUCAAAGUGUAAAGUUAUAUUUCCGUAACUUUAAAAAAGAAUUGUCUGUUCACAUGUAUACUGGACACAGAGCAUGUUUGUAUUCAUUCCAUUCAUUUCUGAUUAUGUUUUUGAUUGCUUUAUCUAAAAAAACAAACUGACUGAUAUUAGUUCUUUGGUACUCUGAACUAAACACUCAAAACACGUUUGCUACAC
rnacentral:lncRNA from 1 species